AUGAAAGUGAUGGAAGUAAUUUAUGUUGAGUUGGCAUUGUUGUACAAUUUUGGUUCACAUAUUCUCUCUAAUCUAUGCUACACAGUACACAUACACACGCUCUUCUGUGUGUCCAAGAUAUAUCCUCAACAUCGUGCCCUACUUCUUUGUACUACCUAUUUAUUCUCUUUCUCUCUUAUUGGUUCUGUAGGGAUCAUUCACAAGACUCAUUAUUUUGUUUGGGAUUCUACUGACACUUAUACACUUUUAUUUUGGAUCUCUGUCUCUUUUUGUAAGCUUCAGGUGAUUUGCAUUUCUUAA